rnacentral:lncRNA from 1 species
AUUUAAGUUAACUAAUUAAAUGUAUUGACCUUCGUAAGCUACUACAUUAAUAUAAUAGACCUAUCUGACUAUACAAUAUACAUAUAAAUUUAUGAGAAAAAAUCUAAUUUAUUAGAAGACAUAAUUUAAUAAAAACCUAAAAUAGAUAAAGCCAUUAAUUUGGUAUGCGACACAAAAGAAAAAUUGACACGAAAAAUAAGGAAAACGAUUACCAUUUCGAUAUACGAAUACGAAAGUACCCGAUCAUAAAAUGGACCAUUAGAAAUAUCCCUUUAUAUUUUGACGUGUUCGGGUCAAAACUCUCAGGUGCAUUAUAUGCUUUAGGCAAUGCACCUGAGAGUUCUGACCUGAACACGUUUUACGAUCGUAUACUUUCGUAUUCGUAUAACAAAAUGGUGAAUCGAUAUCCAUAUUUUUCGUGUCAUUUGUUUUCUGUUGUAUACCAAAUUGGCAGAUCUAUGUAUUUGAGGUUAUUAUUAUAAUCAUAUCUUAUAAUAAAUUGGAUUUUUGUCAUAAUUUUAUAUGUCUCGACGUAGUCAAGUAGGUCUAUUAUAUUAAAGUUAUAGCUUAUGAAGAUUUAUACAUCGUACCAUUUAAUUUAAAUAAUUUUUCAAUCAACUUGAAUAUAUAUAAAGAAAUACAUACUUAUAAUUAUAACAAAAUUCUAUACUGCAUUCAAUGUGUAACACCCCAAGCCAAAGUGAAGGAGAUGGUUCAACAACUCACCAUAGACCAAACCAAAAGAGCUAACGACUUUUCUACAACAUUUAUAAAUGCGUCCACACUUACAUACUAUGAAAUGUUACAGUUUUUCCACAUUAUAUAAGUUUGACGUCCUCGUCGAGCCCAAAAACUAAAGAAAUCCUUUUAAGGCACUUUUGGCAGGGUCGACCUCAGACAAAAUUUGUUACAGUCCAAGCCAAACAUACUACGUCAAUCAACAACCAACUAUAAGUUGAUACAAAAGAGUUAUCAAUUCCGAUACAAUAUUAGUUGUAAGUUUGUGCUGAUAAAGGCAUUGAUAUAACUUAGUGACGUGGGAUGUUGAAAAUUUUUUCUGUGACACCACUUUAUAUAGUAUGUUUUAAGAUAGCUGUAACCACAUGUUCAAGUAAAUGCUUAGUCAUCAUCCACUAAC